ensembl:lncRNA
CUGAUGUCAAUUACAGACGUCUGAAAGCUCUCUGAGGUCCGUUGCUUAUAGCCUACUUCAAAGUCGAGACAGAAUAAGGCCACGAUCACUCCCAGCGUUUUAUUCUGUGAUGUAAUUGGACUUCCCUUGGGCAAUGACUCCAAAGGUUGGGCUCAGCGGUAUUUUAUCAAAGUUUGAAGGCCAGUGUUUAUGGGCUAAUAAAUGUGUUUCAAAGAAUGGUUGGGCGGUCAGAUUUAUGAAUGUUCUAGGAGGCAGGGAGGGGUAGAGGGAUGAAAUACACCUGGACUAAAGACACACUCUCACAGUAGUCAGGACCUCAGGAGGAAGGGGAGCUUUCCACAGUACAGUUUUGCCAUUCCACACCGUGACCCACAGACAGCAGCCAUGUCUUCCGGAGCAGCCCCUACAGUAGAAUCUGAUGCUGACUUUUACUAUGACUAUGAGAAUCUGCGCAUUGGAGGCCUGAUCUUUGCUGGGGUCAUUGUGGUACUAUCGGUCCUCCUCCUGACAGGUAACCGCAUCAGACGGUGUGGCAAGCGUAAGUCGAAGCAUGUGGAUGAAGAAAUUUAAGAUGGCUCAUUUCUAUACUGGAUGGAUUUAAGAUGUGAACGGCCUGUAAAUUUGAAAAAAGUCAUAUUAUUAUAAACACUUACAUUUUUGAUUUAAUUGUUAAACAUUUCAUUAAAACAUUGAUUUGGAAAAACUGUUUAGGUAUGGUGUCGAAGACUAAAAAAGGAUAUAUGGAGGUUAUAUUUCACGUUUUGUUUUAUUUAUUUUUAUAUAUAUAUAUAUAUAUAUAUAUAUAUAUAUAUAUAUAUAUAUACACACACACACACACACACACACACACAUACAUACAUACAUACAUACAUACAUACAUACAUAUACAGACAGCAGAAUAGAAAGAAGAAGAUGUAAGGGAAUAAUUGACGACGGGCCACUUGAUUAUUCAAGAAAUAAUGCACACCCGAGGUGGUGAUGCAGCCAUGACGCGAAGCGGAGAUAUAUGAUAUAUUUCAAGGCAUCCAUCAGGUUUUUGUACUUAAAAUGCUCCUGUGAGUAGAAUUAAUCUCUUAAUCGCCUCAUCAUCCUUUUAGACCUAGUAACGGAGGACUUUGCGGUUGACAGCAGACUAAUGCAGCUAAUAACCAAUUUAUGAGAGAGAGAGAGAGAGAGAGAGAGAGAGAGAGAGAGAGAGAGAAUUGAAUUUAAAACAGAACUUUUUCAUAAUCAUAUUUACAAACAAUUUACCAAAUAUACUAUACAACUAUAUAUUUUACAAGGCAAAAGUUAAAUAAUUUUUAGAAAUCAUACAAAGAGCUCCAUUACAACACCAAAUCUCCUCAAAGGUAAACAAAUCAUUCAUAUCUAUCUUUAACAAAAGAAUUAACAGCUAAAAUCUCAUGAAGUAUUCUCCAUUGCAAGUAACCAAUUUUUUUUUUUUUUUUUUUUUUUUUGGAUAAUGGCGGUUUAUAUAUACUGUAAGUCUGGUUUUACACUUUAGUUUUAACCAAAGAAAAAUCUCCACGGUGUAUCUGAUUACUUAGCAAGAUUAUUCUUCUUAAAAACUAUCACAUAAAGUCUAUACAAUAUAUUUCCUUUGGUAGAUAAUAAAUCCAACCACUUCAAGUUCCACAUUAAAAACACUUUAAAUCCAUCAAAGUUUGGUAAAAGCAUUAGACAAGGGAAAAAUUAUUUUCAUCAGUCACAGACACUCCAGAAACAUAAUCUUUCAUCAUUAGGCUCUCUUCUACUGUUAAAGUAGAUUUCAAAUUCAUUAAAGAAAGAGAGACGGAUCAAGAUGGGCUCCAAGCAUGCCAACUUAUGCCACAUUGAAGAAGCGACCAGGUUAUAAAUGACAAGAAUGUGUCCUCUGUAUGACAUUCUAGAAAGCAGAAAUUUCCAUUUCUCCAAACUUCCUUUAAUUUUUUUCCACAAAUAAAAGUGUUCAACUCAAUCAAACGCUUUCUCUUGUUCCAGUGGAAUCAGUCGAAAAUCUAAAUUAAGCAAUUUUGACACUUCCAAUGCAUCAUGAAUUAGAGAAAUAUUGUCAACAAUGGAUCUGCGGGGAGCACAGUAGGAUUGCUCUAUUGUUGACACAGUUGUCUAAUGUGGACUAUACCAAUGUCCCACCACUGUUGUACUGAUUUCAAAUUAGACUUGGAUUUUCUAUAAUUCUCCCAGAAGUACUUAAAGGAAUUUCUAAAAACGCUAUCACUCAGUAAAGAAAUAUUAAAAUGCCAAUAAGCACUUCUAGGUUCAAUAGAUUUUAAAAUAAAACCACAUUGCACCAUUCUGUGAUCAGAAAAACCUACUGGGAUGAUAAAGCAAUUAUUUAAAUAUUAAGAUGAUGUUUAAAACCAUAUAAUCAGUGUAAA